CAACCAUUUGAGAUAAGCUGCUUUGGAUCAGAAGAAGAAGAAGAAGGCGUUGCCCACGAGACCGUAAACACACGUGGCGGAUAUUCAGAUUUUCUCCCUUUUUUCUUUUUCCCGGAAAAAAAGAGAAUUUCUUGUUGGUUUAAUUGAGAGGGAGAGAUUGUUUGAGAGACGAAGGAAGAAGAAGAAGAGGGAAGAGGAGGAAAUAAGAAAGAUAGAACGAUCGGGGUUUCUCUCACUAACCUAACCCACCAACUCUUUCGCGAUUCUAGUGAGAGAAACUUGAAUCUCUCUUGAAGAAUAAUAGAAUCUAGGAUUCGGACAUGUCGAGCUCAGCCGCUUCGUUGUGUUGUUCAUCAACCCAGGUCAAUGGAUUUGGUCUUAGGCCUCAAAGGUCGCUUCUUUACCAACCCAAUUUGUUUACUUUCUCCAGAAGGAAAACUCAUGGUGUUGUGAAGGCCUCAGCUCGGGUUGAUAAGUUCUCGAAAAGUGAUAUCAUUGUUUCUCCCUCGAUUCUCUCGGCUAAUUUCGCCAAAUUAGGCGAGCAGGUAAAAGCAGUGGAGCUGGCUGGCUGUGAUUGGAUCCAUGUCGAUGUGAUGGAUGGUCGUUUUGUUCCCAACAUCACCAUUGGACCUCUCGUGGUUGAUGCUUUGCGCCCUGUUACAGAUCUUCCGUUGGAUGUUCAUCUUAUGAUAGUGGAACCGGAUCAGAGAGUACCGGAUUUUAUCAAAGCAGGGGCAGAUAUAGUCAGUGUUCAUUGUGAGCAGUCGUCGACCAUCCAUUUGCAUCGCACCGUAAAUCAAAUAAAAAGCUUAGGGGCUAAAGCUGGAGUUGUCCUAAACCCUGGAACCCCACUGAGUGCAAUAGAAUAUGUCUUGGAUGUGGUGGAUCUGGUCUUGAUAAUGUCAGUCAACCCUGGGUUUGGUGGACAGAGCUUUAUCGAAAGCCAAGUAAAGAAAAUCUCGGAUCUGAGAAAAAUGUGUGCAGAAAAGGGAGUAAACCCAUGGAUUGAAGUUGAUGGUGGUGUCACUCCAAAGAAUGCAUACAAGGUUAUUGAGGCUGGAGCAAAUGCUCUAGUAGCUGGAUCAGCUGUGUUUGGAGCUAAAGACUACGCAGAAGCUAUAAAAGGAAUCAAGAACAGCAAGAAGCCAGAAGCUGUGGCUGUGUAAUGUGAAGCAACAAGCUAAAAGACUCUGUUAAUCUUAGGUUGGUGAUUUCGCCGUAUCUGAAUAUCCAUGAAAAGCUAAAAAUGUCAAAGACGACCACCAAGAUGUUGUUUCCAUUCACCAGAUUACAUUCGCCACAAAAUCCACAAGAAUCAAAACAGUUUCAAAGUAGAUCAUUUAUUAUACUCUUCUGUACCAUUGUCUUGUAGAUUGUGGAUAUGCAGAUUUCAUACAUUUGCAAUGAACCACUGUAAUAAGAAAUAAGCUGUUACAUAUGUAUUUUUUACUGUGGGAAAGUAAAGUAUUUUCAUUCGUCU